UCACUUACCUGGACGGGGUCGAUGAGAGAUCAAGAAGUCUCAUGGCCUAGAUCAGUGGCCUACAUAGCACCUUGUGGGCGCACUGGUUUACCAUCUCCCUCCGGGAGAGUGGACGUCGUAAUUUGUUACAGAGGGGGUACGCGUUCGCGCGGCCCCUAC
rnacentral:snRNA from 1 species